CUUCCAAAACGGAAGUCUUUAACUUCGCCUCCGCGUCCAAGGUUCCUCAAAAACUUUGCACAAACAGUCGGUCGCAACUGGAGAUUGGACAAACAUCGAAGAGGGCAAGAAAUAUAUGACAGCAUGGCAUCCAUUUCGACUGAGCAGAAUACACAGCCCACUCCUCAGCUUCUGUCAGUCGGAGAAAAGGAUAAGAAACGGCUGCUGGAGGUGUAUGUGAAGCGAAGUCUCAGCCUUAACGAUGGAUCACAAUGUCCUCUGAGACAGGAGCAAAGAACACGCAAAUGGGUUGCCAUCACAGAGCCGAAGACAAGACAUCGCAAACAUUCCAGCGAUACAUCUCUGAACUUGACUUCUCAAGCCUCCAUCUCAGAUGAGGACAUUAGAUACGAGCCCUUCUCUGAACCACAACUGGAUAAAAAGGAGAUGUCGUCUGAAAAGAAAUCCAAAAAGAGGAGAGUUAAAGGGAGCCUGCGCCGCAACGAUAGUUCUAAUGCAUCGCAAAAGUCCAAUAGCAAACCCAAGAAGUGGUUUCAACGUUUGGAUAAGGGCAAGGAGGAGGGUGGGCAAAGCACUGAUGCUUUACCUCCCCAAACAAGUACAGUUAUUCCUGGAGAUAUGCAUUCAAAUGUGCUAGAAAAUCUGGAGACUUGUACAGUGGAAAGGAAGGACAAAGAAGGCAAGAAGACAAAGAAGCCCACUGUAUGGAAGAAUUUCUUGAGCUGGUUUUCCAAAGGAAACAGUGAAAAAGAACAAGAUCAUCAGAGAACCAAAGAACAGUUACCUCUUUCCCAACCCUCAACACCCCAAAUCUCUUGUUUGCCUUUAGCUGACACCCUAUCAAAAAGUGAAAUCAACCUGCGCCGUUCAAAGUCUUCGAAAAAGAAAUCGUUGCACAGGAGAUCAUUAAAAUGCAGGCAAAGUGGAGAUAUGUCCACUGAAAAAUCUGUUGAGAUAGUGGAACCCACUAACUCGUACUAUGAGAAAAUGUCAGAGGAACUGGAGAAAAUUGUGCAUGAAGUGAAAGACAGUCCAGCAGAUGACAAUGCCACUUACCAAAUAACAGACCAGAAUGGUGUAAAUGUCUCAAAAGAAGAGGUUAUAAAGAGAAUCAUAGAACUUAUAAAACAGGAAGGAGACUUAAUACAUAAAAAGGUAAGUGUGUCUCAUUCCUUCUGACAUCAUUAAAUAUUACUGAGACCUUUUAUUAGUAUUGCAGAUGUUUGGCUCCGUUUCAAACAUGUAUGAAAUGUAUGAAAACCACCCAAGUAUUGCUGUUCCUUGCAAUGUGUUAUUUAAAGGAGAUCCACCAAGUUCACUAAUGUUUUCUGAUCUCCCCUCCUCCCCCAGCUGAAAAAGAACAGCACCGUGAGCGAUUAUCUGGAUGGAUUCACCUAUGGAUUCUUCCAGCAAAUGGCUGAUCAAUAUGUGCAGUCAGAAGUUCCCAAUAAGAAAACCCAGCUGCCUGUCGUGGCACCAGAGCUGGUGAAGUUCGCCUUCACUCUGGACUUCACAGCCAGAGUGGCUAAUCUACACCGCCAAGCCACAGGCCAAAUCAUGGGCUUCGGGAACCAGUAUCUCCAAGAUCGCUUCACUCACAUGAGCGAGAGCCAUCCGCAUCUCUCUGACAUUAAAGCAGAGGAUCGGGAAAACACAGAACUCUGAGCAAGAAUUCAUAAGCUUGUAGAAGCGUGAGCUUCUAGCUGACAGUUUUACUGCUGGAUUUAUUUGAAAUGUAGCAACACAAAAGGAGAAAUAACGAAGGCUUUUAAAAUAGGAUUUGUUUUUUUUUCAUUUUGCACAAUAGCACACACAAGAAACACACACCAGAAUGAACAGGGUUGG
rnacentral:lncRNA from 1 species